rnacentral:misc_RNA from 1 species
GAAAUUUCUAAGAAAAACAAUGAAAUAAUUUUAAAAGAGUUAAAUUUUUAUUUAAAUUUAAUUUAUUAUAUAUUUAAAAUAUAAAAAAAAAAUUCACAAAUCAUAUAUUUUAUAUUCUACAUCCAUAAAUUCAUUAUACAUGGAUUAAGAAAAGAAAACACUAUUCCUCACAUUUUCCACAAAUUCUCUUUUCACCCCCAACGGCACCAUUCAAUCUUUGCUUAUAUAUAUCAGUCUCUCCUUUGCUCUCUCUAUAUAUAGCCAUUUCAGUUUCAGCUGCUCUUCUCCCCUCCUUUAAACAUUUCUUCCUAAUUAAUUACUUUCCUAUUUCUUUCUCUUUCUUAUCACAGAUUUUCUCUCUUAUGGCUCACACCAAAUCCCAUGCCUUUCUUUUAUCUGGGAAGAAGAGACCCAACCAAGAUGAAUUUGACGGGGACGAUCUUUUUCUUUCCAAGAAAUCCUCGCUUUUGUCUCCUGCUGUACCCUACGGUGACGAUCCCGUCGCUGCAUUAGCUGCCGCACGCCAUGAGUUCGGUGAACAUGGAGGCGUUAACAUGUCUAUCGAGGCCUCCGCCACCUUCACCGUCAUGGAGCCCGACACUAUGCGCCGCAUGUUCUCCGGCGAGCUGGGCCCUGAUCGGGACUUCUUCAUCUACAGUCGCCACUUCAACCCCACCGUCUUGAAUCUUGGCCGCCAGAUGGCCGCCCUGGAAGGAACCGAGGCCGCCUAUUGCACUGCUAGCGGUAUGUCUGCGAUAUCCUCGGUGUUAUUGCAACUUUGCAGCAGUGGAGGACACGUGGUGGCUUCGAGGGCUCUGUAUGGUGGGACUCACGCCCUGUUGAGCCAUUUCUUACCGAGGGCGUGCAACAUAACGACGACGUUUGUUGAAAUUGGAGAUGUAGAAAUGGUGAAAAAUGCCAUAGUUGAAGGCAAAACCAAGGUGUUUUACUUCGAGUCCAUGUCGAAUCCUACUCUCACCGUAGCUAAUAUCCCUGAACUCAGCAGAAUUGCCCAUGAGAAAGGUGUGAUGGUGGUUGUGGACAACACUUUUGCCCCAGUGGUCCUGUCUCCGGCACGUCUAGGGGCUGACGUGGUUGUGCAUAGUAUUUCCAAGUUCAUCAGCGGCGGAGCUGAUAUCAUUGCAGGUAAAUAUGUUAAUUUUAUAAAUUGAAUUGAUUCCUUAAUUUUUGGAUAACACGAGGUAAGAUUACAUUAUUAAUUAACAUAAUUAGUGGAACCUAAGGACAUUGAUUUCAGUAAUAAUAUAAUAAAGACAAGGAUAAGAAUGUUAAAGAUAGGCACGGCCGCACGGGAUAUUUUUUGGGUUCGUCUUAGAUGCAGACGGAGACGGGUGAAAGGGAUGGAUAUGUGAGGGAACCUUUUCCUUUUACUUUGUCUAGUGAAUGAUGGUGUCUUGCUUUUGAGAGCAUGAUGCUUGCUAAUUACUAUUAUUUUAAGAUCAUUUUCGCGUGGUUACCUUUAAUCGUGUUUGGUACUGGUAGCAUGCUCUCAUCGUGCUCAUGUACUUUUAGGAUCUUCCAUGUGAUUCUGAGUUUGAUGUUUCCUGUUGUUUUUUCCUCGGUGCUAACUGUGACGUGGCCCGGUUUCUGCUCCUUGGUGUCCCAUCUCUUUUGUAAGUAUGCUCGGAAAUAUGAUUUAUUAAUUAAUAUGGAAUCGGCAGGUGCUGUUUGUGGGCCGGCCAGCCUUGUGAACUCAAUGAUGGACCUUCAUCAAGGGACUUUGAUGCUUCUUGGGCCUACAAUGAACGCCAAGGUGGCCUUUGAGUUGUCAGGGAGGAUUCCUCAUUUGGGCCUCAGAAUGAAGGAACAUUGCCACCGAGCGAUGGAGUUUGCAACAAGAAUGAAGAAACUAGGCCUCAAAGUCAACUACCCAGGCCUUGAAGACCACCCACAACAUGAGCUCCUCAAGUCCAUGGCUAAUAAGGACUAUGGAUAUGGUGCACUUCUCUGCCUUGACAUGGAGACUGAGGAAAGGGCUAACAGAUUGAUGCAGCACUUGCAGAACUUCACCCAAUUUGGGUUAAUGGCUGUGAGCUUGGGCUACUAUGAGACCUUAAUGUCAGUCUCUGGUAGUAGCACUAGUAGUGAAAUGAGUGCGGAGGAAAAGAAAUUAGCUGGAAUCUCACCUGGGCUAAUCAGGAUGUCUGUUGGGUACAUAGGCACUUUGGAGCAGAAAUGGAGCCAAUUCGAGAAGGCGCUUUUGAGAAUGCAGGACUCAGGCUUCACGUACAAGAAUUCAGUUUCUGCUGUUACCAAAUAGAAGCAAACAUAUAGCCUUUAAAAAUAAAACGCUUCUCCAUGGCUUCCGCGGCCCCUGCAUUCUGCAAUAAUAAAUAAUGGAGCCUCGUAAAUAUGCGUGUACAAAAUCAAACUUGUUGAGUUUUUAAGGAGCUUAGAAACCUCCCUGAGCAAAUCUAUGUUGCAUGCACGUUCAACGCCUGCAUUUGAAAUUCAUUUGUGUGUGUCUGUAUGUAUAUAUAUUUAUGCAUCAGCUAAGGCACUAGACAAUGCUUUCAUUUGCUUUUCAGGUUCAGCACAAAAAAAUUCCUUCUACACAAAUCAACAUAUUAUUAUUGGCUAAAAUCCCCUGUAAGCUUAAAAAAAUGAAAAACUUGAAAAAGUCCAGUUUGAAGACAUAACCGUCAGGGAAUUGAACAACGAUUGCCGGGUAAUUAUUUAAUUUUAAGCAGAAAAUAGCGAUUUGAUGAAGCCAUGAUAGAAAAAUUCUGGAGUCCUAAGCUUUUACAGAGUGGCACCAAGUUGAAGUUCAUCCACAGCUAAGAGACAUGAUCAUUAAAUACGAAGACUACAUAUAGCUUGCCGCGUUCAGCAAUCAGCAUAAAUUGGGAAGAAUUUGGGUUAAUUUAUGAAUCUAUCAUAUUAUUGGAGCAAUUGGCUAAAAGUAUCUCCGAGGACCAGAAGAACACAUUCAAAAACCUUGUCUGAAGAGUCUUGGAUUAAUCUUCAUGGCUGUUGGUUUAUAGCCCUUUUGCAUCAUGCUUCGCUUUUAAUUUGGUUUGUUAGGGGGAUUGAUAGAGUCUGAUCAAAGGAGUUUGGUUGUUUAAGAAAAAGCGGCUCUGUUUUCUUUUUGGAAAUUUAUGUGCCUAUGCUCCUCUCUCGGCAUCCAGGAACUUAAGGGGAGUGAGUAUCUUUGUCUGGUUCCCAUUGAUGUAGCAGUUAGGAUAAGUUUAAGAGCUGGAAUGUGUCAGUUCGAUUGCUGUUAAAUUAUUUGAAUUGGCGUAUCUUGUUGUCUUUAUUCAGAUUUGUUAGGACUCCUGAAAUCCUCGAGUGGCUGCCUGCUUUUCAUAAUCUGCUGCUUCUUUGUUGAGCAAGUUGGACGUCUGACCAUUUGCUGUGAUAUUCUUGAUUUUAUUGUCUGUGUAGUCGGGAAGAAGAUUCAGGUCCUUGCUUGGAAUUUCAUUUCUCUAAAACAUUCUGUUGUCCGACUUUUAGAGAGUGUCAGAUGGAAAUUUCCAGAUUCAAG